AGUGAACGCUGGCGGUAGGCCUAACACAUGCAAGUCGAACGGCAGCACAGUAAGAGCUUGCUCUUACGGGUGGCGAGUGGCGGACGGGUGAGGAAUACAUCGGAAUCUACUUUUUCGUGGGGGAUAACGUAGGGAAACUUACGCUAAUACCGCAUACGACCUACGGGUGAAAGCAGGGGAUCUUCGGACCUUGCGCGAUUGAAUGAGCCGAUGUCGGAUUAGCUAGUUGGCGGGGUAAAGGCCCACCAAGGCGACGAUCCGUAGCUGGUCUGAGAGGAUGAUCAGCCACACUGGAACGGAGACACGGUCCAGACUCCUACGGGAGGCAGCAGUGGGGAAUAUUGGACAAUGGGCGCAAGCCUGAUCCAGCCAGACCGCGUGGGUGAAGAAGGCCUUCGGGUUGUAAAGCCCUUUUGUUGGGAAAGAAAAGCAGCAGGUUAAUACCCAGCUGUUCUGACGGUACCCAAAGAAUAAGCACCGGCUAACUUCGUG
rnacentral:rRNA from 1 species